rnacentral:rRNA from 1 species
GCUUGUCUCAAAGAUUAAGCCAUGCAUGUCUAAGUAUAAACUGCUUAUACUGUGAAACUGCGAAUGGCUCAUUAAAUCAGUUAUAGUUUAUUUGAUGGUACCUUACUACUCGGAUAACCGUAGUAAUUCUAGAGCUAAUACGUGCGUAAAUCCCGACUUCUGGAAGGGACGUAUUUAUUAGAUAAAAGGCCGACCGGACUUUGUCCGACCCGCGGUGAAUCAUGAUAACUUCACGAAUCGCAUGGCCUUGUGCCGGCGAUGUUUCAUUCAAAUUUCUGCCCUAUCAGCUUUCGAUGGUAGGGUAUUGGCCUACCAUGGCGUUAACGGGUAACGGAGAAUUAGGGUUCGAUUCCGGAGAGGGAGCCUGAGAAAUGGCUACCACAUCCAAGGAAGGCAGCAGG